CAGGAUUUCCCCUGUACUACGGACAGAGUCUCCCCUGUACGUUCAAGGCAUAGCAAUCAAUACAAUGUGCGAAGUUCCAACCAGGAACACAUUUCAAUCAAGAUUGCAUAAUGGAAGGCAUCAAACAACAUAACACAUCCUAUAUUAUUACAUUCAUUCAUAUUCAUGCAUUUUACAUCACAAUUCUCAAUUGGUUCUUACAUUAACUUUCACUUAACUUCCAAAUACAAUCCGAUUUAACAUGAUUAUUACAACUUGAUUCUUUUCAUUCUUUACAACUCUAAGUAAG
rnacentral:lncRNA from 1 species